CUUGUAAUAAUACUGAAGUUCACUGUUAACAUAUUGUCCUCCAGGUUGGAGAAUGUAUGGAAUGCCAGGCCAGUGCGUCAACAAUAAAGCAGGGGACAGAGUUCAUCCCCAUACAAGUGAGCCAACCCUUUGAACUUGUGGGGAUGGACAUGAUUGGCAAAGUGGCCGAGACAGAGGCAGGGAAUACAUAUAUCUUAGUAAUGGUGGAUUACUUCACCAAGUGGCCUGAGGCUUUUGCCCUACCAUCCAAAACAGCUGCAAAUGUGGCAGACUGUAUCAUUAGGUUCUUUUACCGUUUUGGGGCCCCAAAAAGAUCCUAACUGACCAGGGACGAGAGUUCGUUAAUGAGCUAAACAAAGAGGUGUGCAAAGGUCUGGGGAUUGAGCGCAGCCUUUGUGCGCCAUAUCAUCCACAAACAAAUGGGCUUGUGGAAAAGUUAAACGGGACAAUACAGAGGGCACUGUGCAAACUUGUCAACCAACGUCCAGAGAGUUGGGACAAAUAUCUGGAUGCUGUGAUGUUUGGGCUGAGGACCAAAAAACAGAUGACGACAAAGUUCUCCCCAUUCUUCCUCCUGUUUGGGACAGAGGCCCGCCUCCCGAGUGAGGUUCCGGAGGAUUACAAGAUUGACACAGGCAUGGAGAAUGUCCUUGACCAGGAGGUGGUGUCGGAGGCCAUUAAAAGGCAGGAUGCAAGUCUAGUGCGGGAAAACAUAGCCACAGCCCAAAACAAAUAUAAAUUGCCCAAAUCACCAAAACAGGCAUGUUUUCAGGUGGGGGACAUGGUGCUGCGCAAAAAUAUUCGCAGUCAGCAAAGGAAAGGUGGGAAGAUGGACAAAAACUGGCUUGGUCCCUUUACGGUAGUUGCUAUCACUAAAAAG